UAUGUAUGAAAUUUGGUUUUCUUUUGUGGCCUCUACUUUAGCUUUUCAAUCGCUCCGACAACUAAAACUUUCUGAUGCCCUCAGAGAUAAAUGUUGAACUGAAAACAAAUAAAAGAGAGACACGAAUAAAAAUUUUACUUGAAGAGGCACAUGACUGGAAGCUUCCCACUCCAUGCAAGCCAAUACCACAGGUAGCUGAGAGCCUGAAGCUGGUGAGAACAAAGAGAGAAAGCAUUUUUCGCCUGUUUGCCUUUCAUUCUUUCUGGGUUCGAAUUUAGAAUCAGCAGCCAUAAGUUGAAUGGUUCUUGCAAAUCAUGUAAGUAGGUCUUCAACUUUUAUUCAUUAGAGUUGUGACUGUGAACUGCGUUGGAAUAUAUCAGCAGUUCCUCUUCAGAAAACAUGAAAAACUCAUCUUUGACUCUCUAGCUAACUAGAGCUGAAACGUGAGGAACAGAGAAAAUGAAUACAAAGGAGAGAAAAGGCGAAAUAGAACAUUGAGGGAGGCAUAGAAAAGAAACUGAGAAGAAAGAGAUCAUUGAAGAAAUGAAGUUCAGAUUGGUAGCUUAAUUGAAUUAUUAUAAAUGGGAGUCAAAACUGAUUUUGAUCCUAAAAUUUAUUUGUUAUUGAAUCCUAGGUUUUAGCGUAGUAAGAUUAUAGAAACUUUUGAUCAAUUCUUAUAUAUGACUUAGGUUUGUCAAGUGUAAAACAACCUGAGGUUUGACUCAAGUUGGUUUUCAACAUAGAAAUGGAAAAAAAGAGGAAUACCUAAAGCUUUUGAGUAUCACAAUCUAUUCAUAAGUACAAAGGGAAGGAGUGGACUAAAGCAUUUUUUUUUCCCUUUGGAGAAAAGGAUCACAGGGGAGAGCCUGGAGUAGAUGUAUAAUGGUGCUCAUUGCUCCUUCGCAACACAGAACAUGGGGUUGAAGGUCAGUUACUUUUUUAAUUGUUUAGUUAGCAGCAAAUCUAUAAUUUAAAGUUGUAAUUUGUUGGGAGGAUGGAGUACCAUAGAGCCAUAGAGUGUUGAAGUUACAAAAGAACUUUAAUCUCUUUUGUCAUAAUUAUACAGCAAUAGUAAUCUACAGCUACCAUUUUGACAGUUCUGUGAGGAAAUACAUUUUGAUCAGGUACCAUCUCUAGCUUGCAGAGAAAUUGAAAUGUAUACAAAGCAUAGAACUAUCAUUAGGGGACUAGAUAAUUUUCUUCCUACAAGUGAGAGAAUGCAACGGAGAUAGAGGAAGAGCAAAGCGUAUGAAGUUGUCGGAUACUAAGUGGGUAGAUUGCCUCUACCUACAUGGCAAGCUUUUGUACUGAAAUCACAUCUACCAUUUUGUGAUGACAUGAUGGUUUGUAUAUAUAUUGCAUAUAGAAUGCAGCUUCUAGAACCGAGUAGACACAAUGUAACUCGUUAAUGAGAGAAAUUAACGAGUUUGGGAACUGUGCACGCCUUCAAGGAAGAAUGUGUUAGUUGGUGAAGUAAUUAACUAACCAUUAUUUUUUUUUUGGGCCUCGGAACAUUUCUAUAAAGCACACACUUGUUAUGACUUGGUGCUACAGAAUAUUCAAGGUGACAAAGUUUGGACAAUUCAGUGUUGUUCAUACAAAAGAAGUAACGGAAGAAUACAAGCAAUAAUUUCAGGUGCUGGUUGGAAAGCAUUUAGGCAGGACAAUCAUCUGGAAGAAGGUGAUGUCUGUGUGCUAGAGGUGAUAAAGGAACGUAAGUGCAGAGUUUCGAUAUUCCGAGCUAAAAAGUGAAGAUAACAUGAAUUGUUCAUAGUUCCAGAGCAUACUCUUUUGAGGUUAGAUGUGAGGAAAAGUUAAGUGUCAUCUUAAAGAAAGAUUAGUGGUAGAAGAAGCUCAGAGGAAGUAUUGCUAUCAAUGUAAAAAUGAGUGCCUUUGGUUGGAUUCGAGUACUAUUUUCAUUGGCAGAUAUUCCUAUGUCUCACGGGAUAGUUUGCCACAGUUGCUCCUCUCUUUUAUCCAAACUAUGUCGAGCAUUCUUCUGUGCAGUGAAAAGAAAGACUGAGAUCAGUACACCAAUGUUUGACAUUUAACCAUGUACACUUCUAAAAGAAAUUUUUCAUUCUUUGGGGUAAAUAGACAAGUUGUCAGAAAUCAUUUCAUCAAUACAAACAUCUCAUUUA